AUCUUUAUUCGAAAUUGAUAACAUCAAUCAUGGUUAAUCCAUAUUGAGUCAUCCUGAUAUGAUCUUUGAUGAUCUCGAUCAUGAUUGCCUCGUCUGAAGGAUACAAAAAUUCUCUCUAUUUUCUCUCUCCACUUUCUCUCUCUAGAAUUUUCUCUCUCUUCAUGAAUUUUCUCUCUCUAGAAGUCUUAUGGAUCAAUGGAGGA
rnacentral:lncRNA from 1 species